ACGGGGGGUGCAAGCGUUGUUCGGAAUUAUUGGGCGUAAAGCGCGUGUAGGCGGUUUGUUAAGUCUGAUGUGAAAGCCCCGGGCUCAACCUGGGAAGUGCAUUGGAAACUGGCAGACUUGAAUACGGGAGAGGGUAGUGGAAUUCCUGGUGUAGGAGUGAAAUCCGUAGAUAUCAGGAGGAACACCGGUGGCGAAGGCGGCUGCCUGGACCGAUAUUGACGCUGAGACGCGAAAGCGUGGGUAGCAAACAG
rnacentral:rRNA from 1 species